UCGGAAUUUGGUACUUUGUAAAAGGCCAGAACAACUACAUGGUGAUGAUGAUAACAGUGAAUCAUCAGUAACAAGUCCUGAAUGGUGAGACUCUCUGUGGUUGCUAAGUUGGCUAGUAAAACAAAUGUAAACAAAAAUUAUCAUCAUAUGUCCAUAGUCACACACAAUAUACGAUAUGAUUCCCCUGCAAAAUUUAUGCAGCUUCGACAUGCUAAGCCUGUAAUGCACCAGGUUUAUCGGCCAGCAUAGACAGCUUGGAUCCAACAGACAUGCUGGUUCGUGCAAGAGAGUUCCUAUGAAUGCGGCAUCUGAAAGAACCUGGAUGAUUUGUUGGCGAGCACAAGCAGUUUGGUUUUAUGCUUGCUGGUUUUUGUUCACCUCUGGGUUUUGUUUGUGAAGCCAAUUGUGAGGAGUUUCUCAGGGGCUCCCCUCGGAGAUUUGAAACAGAUAUACUUGGACUCGGUUUCACAUGUAGUUCUCUGAUCCUUUGUUGUUGCGUACCCAUAUGGCAAUGCUUCUCUGAUCAACUGCAGGAACGGAUAAACAAUAAAGGCAAGAAAAAGAAACUGAGAAACGGAGAGAAAAGAUUUGCAGAAUCACCUGGCUGAAAUUCAAGAUUAAUAAUAAUGCAACUUCUGCAAAUUGUUCCUCUCUCUCUCCUUUCUGUUAGCCUGGAGAUAUGAAAGGAGACAGAAAGCAAAACAUUCACCUCAAGGCCUACUUUCGUG
rnacentral:lncRNA from 1 species